ACUUGAAUAGUUUAAUAUAAAAUAUUGAUUUGUGGUAUCAAUGAUAUAAUUAUUUAUUUUAGGUU
rnacentral:tRNA from 1 species